rnacentral:rRNA from 1 species
AAAGGGUGCGUAGGCGGAUUUGUAAGUCAGUGGUGAAAUCCAACAGCUUAACUGUUGAACUGCCAUUGAUACUGCAAGUCUUGAGUAUAUUUGAAGUGGGCGGAAUAGGUCAUGUAGCGGUGAAAUGCUUAGAUAUGACACAGAACACCAAUUGCGAAGGCAGCUCACUAAACUAUAACUGACGCUGAGGCACGACAGCGUGGGGAUCAAACAGGAUUAGAUACCCGGGU